rnacentral:rRNA from 1 species
AUUGAACGCUGGCGGCAGGCCUAACACAUGCAAGUCGAGCGGUAACACAGGGAGCUUGCUCCUGGGUGACGAGCGGCGGACGGGUGAGUAAUGUCUGGGAAACUGCCUGAUGGAGGGGGAUAACUACUGGAAACGGUAGCUAAUACCGCAUAACGUCGCAAGACCAAAGAGGGGGACCUUCGGGCCUCUUGCCAUCAGAUGUGCCCAGAUGGGAUUAGCUAGUAGGUGGGGUAACGGCUCACCUAGGCGACAAUCCCUAGCUGGUCUGAGAGGAUGACCAGCCACACUGGAACUGAGACACGGUCCAGACUCCUACGGGAGGCAGCAGUGGGGAAUAUUGCACAAUGGGCGCAAGCCUGAUGCAGCCAUGCCGCGUGUAUGAAGAAGGCCUUCGGGUUGUAAAGUACUUUCAGCGGGGAGGAAGGUGUUGAGGUUAAUAACCUCAGC